CGGCAACAGCUCAAAUUUGAAAUCUGACCCUCGGGUCCGAGUUGUAAUUUGCAGAGGAUGCUUUUGAUGCGGCGCCUUCCGAGUUCCCUGGAAUGGGACGCCAUAGAGGGUGAGAGCCCCGUCUGGUUGGAUGCCAAGUCUCUGUAGAGCUCCUUCGAC
rnacentral:rRNA from 1 species